UUACCUUUUAAACUGUCUCUUUUAUAAGGACUUACUGAAUUUCUUUUUUCAGCAAUUUGGGACAUUCUUCCAGUUGUCGGCAACUUUGUGAAAAAGGCUGGAAACUAAAAUGCAGAAUUCUGGCCUGGUGUUUGGUCCGUGCUGUCUUAGGCUCUUGCAUCUCCAUCAUCCUGACCCUCUUUAGCAGCCUGUCCAUGUAUUUAUUUGGAGGCCACCAUGAGCACCCAUCUGCAUAAUAUGACUUUGUUACUCAGUUGUCCAUGCUCCUACAAAUUCUACAUUUUUUUGUAAAGCUGCAACAAUUUGAAACCCUAUAAUUAUUAACAUUUGAUUUUGAAUUAUGUAAUUCAAAUACAUGAAUAAGUAACAAAAGCAGAAAUAUAUUAAGACAUUACCUUUUUGUUGAUUGUUUACUGAUCUAUAAAUCCUUUUGCAUUCUCAUAAUUGAUCAUCAUAACUUGGUAUACAGUGGAUGUGUGGCUGUAGAUAACUUUCUGAAGUCAAUUUAAAAAGGCAAAAGUUAAUAAAUGCUAAAUUGGUCAAAUAUACAUUGUUGUAUUUUCACCAUUUUGAUCUUAUUUAGGCAUUUCAUAACUUGAGGGGAAAUUUACGUAUACUGAUGUUUCAAAUAAAAUAUUAAUUUAUUAAUGACAGCUAAUCAUUUUAUAAAGAUUUUUUAUAACAAUAUUUAUUUAUAUAAUAUCAAUUUAAUACAUUUAUUUCGUUACACCUACAUCACUGAGCGCAAGGGAGUGCAGCCAACAAAUACAUUCAGGUGUGUUUGACUUAACACCGAGAUGCGCAGACAGCACGUGGUAUGACAUCAAGUACCGCGAGAGUUUGGGAAAGCCCCGGAAAAGGUUUGAACUCGCGGUACUUGAUGUCACGAUCGGUUUGCGCGUAGAUCAGCAUGAAGUCAAACACAUCUGAGAGAUGUGUGGGCUGCCAGCACCCAACGUUGCGAUCAUUCAAUAGAGUGUAACCUCAAUCGGUUUUUGCAGCUUCUGGGUCUCGUGUAGAACGAUCACAGAAAGAUUUUUUUGUUCUUUUCCAACUCGAUUUUUAACUCCCUAAACUAGUAGGAUGUUCCAACGGGUGAAGCAACAGUGCUGACGGCAGUUUCAGUGUCAAGUUUUCAUGCCAUGACCACUGGGGCGGAAACCAUUAUGACAUUGCCUUGGACAUCAAACUAAACCAUCUCAUUCUGGCUUUUGAGGUGGAUUCUAACCUCGAAAUCUCAGAAGGACAGGUCUAAGAUGGACGCAGCCUCCAUAGGAUGCAACCUUGCAUUUGAGAAACACCCAUAGAACGGUCAACUUACCCCAUACUCUAACCUGAAUGCAGGGAUCAUAAAACUUUAUCUUUUACCUUAAUUGUUAGAUGGGUGUUGAUACCAAACUUUUUUUCUCGUCUACCCAGGAGAAAGUCAUGGGUUCUGCUGCUAAGGUUGUCAUAAACGUCUUUUAUUCUGCUUACCUGACUCAUGCAGAAUUCUGGCUUGAUGUUUGGUCCACCUGUUAGCUGGCUCUGGUGCUUGGUAGUCUUCUCAAACCUCUGAAUCAAGACCACCAUGAGAGGCCUUCUGAAGACCAUCAUUACGCUUCAGAUCCAGUUGUCUUUACUAAGAGCCUACCACAAUCCCUGUGCACCAGCUAUGGAAAGUGCAGACCAAACUUCUACCUCCACCUAUAGAACUGAACUGGAGUCUAUGAACUAAUGCUGUGUUCGAGACAACUUGGAUGUUGGAUAUUAUUGACCUUAAACCCGUAAGAAGUCAGGAACAGGAAACAAAGUGGAGUAUCCGACCUCUCAACUUGGAACAGAUCGAUCAACACCGACCUCAACGAGAUGCGUCAUUUGACAUUGCAGACAAGAUCCUUUCUCUUUUUAAUGCAGCACUUAAGGAUGAACCACCCUGAUCUACUAAGAUGCACAGAUUCAACUCUGGCCCAGCAUCAUCCCCAUACCUCAUCUGCCAUCAGUUUAAUUUAAUGUCUGUCAAUUGCAAAUGCUAUUUAUU